rnacentral:rRNA from 1 species
UACGAGUGCCUCAAGCGUUAUCCGGAAUCAUUGGGCGUAAAGGGUGUGUAGGUGGCCAUGUUAGUCUCUCGUUAAAUUCUUCGGCUUAACCGGGGGCAUGCGAGGGAAACGGCAUGGCUAGAGGAUGCAAGGGGUCUGCGGAACUCAUAGUGUAGCGGUGAAAUGCGUUGAUAUUAUGGGAACACCAAAAGCGAAGGCAGCAGACUGGGGCACUCCUGACACUGAAACACGAAAGCGUGGGUAGCGAAUGGG